rnacentral:rRNA from 1 species
AGAGCGAACGCUGGCGGCAGGCCUAACACAUGCAAGUCGAACGGACCCUUCGGGGUUAGUGGCGGACGGGUGAGUAACACGUGGGAACGUGCCUUUAGGUUCGGAAUAGCUCCUGGAAACGGGUGGUAAUGCCGAAUGUGCCCUUCGGGGGAAAGAUUUAUCGCCUUUAGAGCGGCCCGCGUCUGAUUAGCUUGUUGGUGAGGUAAUGGCUCACCAAGGCUACGAUCAGUAGCUGGUCUGAGAGGAUGACCAGCCACAUUGGGACUGAGACACGGCCCAAACUCCUACGGGAGGCAGCAGUGGGGAAUCUUGCGACAAGUGGGACGAAAGCCCUGGACCGCGAGCCAUGCCGCGUGUAUGAUGAAGGUCUUAGGAUUAGUAAAAUACGUUUCAACCGGUGAAGUAUAAGUGGCUGUAGCCGGAAGAAAGAACGCCCCGGACUAACGUCGCGCCAGCCGAGCCGC